CUUGUUCACGAGAAUCACGUGGGGAGCGUGUUAAAAUUACAGAUUCCUCGGCUCCACCCGCAGACCUACUGAAUCAGAAUCUCGAAGGGAGGCGCUCCGGAACCUGUAUCUUUAACUAGGGCCCGAAAGGAUUCUUAUGAUCAGGCAAGUUUGGGAAACACAGCUCUAAUUCAUUGAGGCUGGCGGGAAGGGGGGCGGGGACCGCGCAGUCUCUUUAAGGCGCUUCCAGUUCUCGGCUCCAAUCGCUGCUCUGACCCCCUUCAUCGUCUCCUCCCCUCUCCUCGUCCUUCCCUUCGUCUGUGCGGCUUCCCCAGCGCUGUGGGGCUGCGGACGGAGGGGUAGCCUAGUCCAGAAGUGUCUCUGGGGCUGUGAAAUGUCCCCUCAGAGGGUGGGUCCUGAGGAGAGCAGUCAGAAGCUGUGAUAGGCCAUCAUCUCUGUGGCUGAGCCUGCCCCCAGCCGUGUCCCAGGCUCCCCUCCCACCCCAGCUUCUGCUCUGCCAGAUAAGGAUGAAGUCCCAGCUCCAUUCUGGGUCAGGCCUGGACCCCAGAUCCGGAGGGGCAGAGCUCCCAAGGCCACUGGGCCUAAAGAGUCACGUCCCUUUGCCCAUCUUAUUGGUGCUCUGCACAGUCUGUGCCUGCUCCUCGCCUCCUGCUCGGGCUCCCAAGGCCACGGGUGGGUUGAGGAUUUGGCAGCCAGCCUUCUGGCCCAGCAGACGCUGAGAACUCGGGGGCAGCGGGAGGGACAAGGCACUACAAGGCCAUGCCUACAGCUGGCACCUCCCCUAUGGCCCAGAGAAGGGCCUGAACUACAGGACACCGCCUCAAGCCCCUGAAGCCCUAGCAGAGGCCCGGGUCGGGCAGCAGGUGGGACUGGGAGGGAAGCAGCUUCGGUCAUGGGGCUGCCAGUGGAGGGAAUGGGCAGGCAUGGGUCUGAGGACCUCUGGAAGCCCCUGUGGCCCCUGUGCUGAGAGCUGCUGGCAGUGGGCAGCCGCACCACGGAGCCCAAGAGGAGGGAGCCCAGAACAAGUGGCUCGGGUCUUGGGCACACUGGGGCAUGUCGGGAAGCAGCCCCAAGUGCCGGUCCCCGGGAGGGAGUGCUGCCCAGGGCAGGCUUCAGGACCUGGCUCAGAAGUAGAGGCCAGCCAGUGCUCGAGGAUGAGGGAGUGUGUUCUAGGAAGAGUCUGGUCCCCGAGUCCUGGGGAUGGCUGGCCUUGGCCCAGUACCUACUGCCCGGCUUGUGGGGCUUUGCUGCCUGAUUUUACCCUAGCAGAGUUCUCCUUGGUUAGCAGCUGA
rnacentral:lncRNA from 1 species